rnacentral:rRNA from 1 species
UACGUAGGGUGCGAGCGUUAAUCGGAAUUACUGGGCGUAAAGCGUGCGCAGGUGGUUGUGUAAGUCAGAUGUGAAAUCCCCGGGCUCAACCUGGGAACUGCAUUUGAGACUGCACGGCUAGAGGAUGGCAGAGGGGGGUAGAAUUCCACGUGUAGCAGUGAAAUGCGUAGAGAUGUGGAGGAAUACCGAUGGCGAAGGCAGUCCCCUGGGCUAUUACUGACACUCAUGCACGAAAGCGUGGGGAGCAAACAGG